rnacentral:rRNA from 1 species
GUCACACCCGUUCCCAUGCCGAACACGGAAGUUAAGCUUCUCAGCGCCGAUGGUAGUUGGGGGUUUCCCCCUGUGAGAGUAGGACGUUGCCAGGC